UAAGGAUUAUGAGAAAGGCUAACAGUUUUCAUAAUAAAAUGGUAUGAAAGACUGAAUACGGACUUGGAUUACCAGUAAACAUUCCCAGAAUUUAAAAGUUAAAAAAAAACAUUUUUUUCUGGCUAAAUAGGGAUACAAUGAUAUAAAACAUUAUAUUUUCACUGCCAGAAAUUGGUGCUGUUUAUGACCUACCAAGCCUUUAGAAAUUCAUACAGCAAAUUCACAAACUUAGUUGUACUGUAUUGAUUGAGUAGAUGCCACAGGUAAUGGCAUUGUGUGGAGUAAAGUUGAGACUAUUUGCAAAGUAAUAGUAGAGUUUAGCUUUCAGCACAGCAGAAUGACAUGCAUUGUGGAUCUGUGUUUAAUUGGAAUGUCUCUACUCCAGAAAUUCUGGAAAGGACAGGCAUAUCUGAACAGUCCUCAAACAUAGCAACAACACAAAUUUUAUUAAAGAUGAAGGUGGAGACAAAGUAACAAUUUUAAAAAAUAUAUUGCAACCAUCUUAACCAGCUAUUAUUGUUGUAUUAUAAGAUGAUCCCAAUCCCUUCUAAAAUACUCAUAUUGGAGAUCCUUCUCAAAUGUGACUUCUCAAUCUACUCUACAAUGACAUAAAAGCUUGAUCAUCACACAUCCAAGGCCACCUUCUCACUGGACACAGGUUAAACAAGGCUUUGUCGAAGCACUUAUUUUCUUUUCAACUUUUCUUGCUGCAAUACCUCCUCUUGCCUCUGAUACUCACUUUUGCAGUAGAGAUAAUAUACAGGACAACCAAGAAACUGUUCAACCUUUCUUGUAUCCAUUCUAGAACCAAAAUGCUUGCACAAAUGGAAGAGGUAGAGAGAGAGCCAAACCAUGGUUGAUUCUUUAAACAAAACACAAGGGUGGGCUUUCUACUAAAUGUCCAGCAGACAUUCAAUAACCGACGAGUUUUUCCUUCAGUGUUUUCAAUUUUUGCUUUAGAAGGCAAAGAUCCAAAAUCAACUUGACCCCACUGCACCACACCAAACCACUGAUAACAAAGAUAACUUUCUUUAUGUCAGAAGCUAAUUUUCAGCAACAGCAGACAUUGAGAAUCAAAUUCAUUGCCUCAUCUGUACCCACAGAUCCUUCAGCCACAAGGAAGAAUGUCUGAAGACUAGUUGGCUCCAAAUAAAUUUCAUUACAGAUUGGAUGUAUAGACAACAUACUACAGGCACUUUCAACUACAGAAGAACCAAUACUGUCUCUGAAAAAUCCUCCAACUCCAUUGGCAGUCUGGUUGAAACCUCUAACAAGCUAAUAUCCCCAACAUCAAAGGUCAGAUCAUACUCAGCAGCUGCAAUGACUCUGCAUGCAUCGGAUACCAGCACCUGAAACAAGCAGUUUUCAUCCAGUUCCAUCAAAGCAAUCAACUUCUGUAAGAGAACACAGAUGCACCAUACUCAGCCAUCUGCCCUAACAUUGUGUGGAUUAAAAUCAUAUUUUGUUUGAUGACCUUCCUGUAACAAGUCUAAGACCUAAAUAUCCAUGAGGUCAGCAAAAUCUAUGGAGAAAUCGUAGUUAAUGCUUUCAUCAGACCUGUUGCGUCAUCCAAAUCAUUCCAUAAGACCAACAAGUGUUAUUAGCUUCUUGGUUGUUCUCUACAAAAUCUUGAGCUGAAUGGCCUGAUGAAACUCACAUAAGCUAACACCAAAGUGGGGAUGUAUGUAAAAAAACACAACUCCAGGCAGUGAAAGAAACAAGGUGUAUAGCCUGACAUCUUUACAAUGCUCUAUUACCUCUGGGAUCUGCUUCAGCCAUAUAGAUCAGCGUUGUAUGCAACACACACACACACACACACCCCGGAGGAAAUCAGCAGGUCCGGCAGCAUCGAUGGAGGGGUAAAAAUAGUCUUAUGUUUUGGGCAGAGGCCCUUCAUCAUGAUUGGAAAGGAAGAGCACAGAAGCCAGAAAUAAAAAAAAGUAGAGAAAGCAGCUCAACUUGGAAGGUAUUAGGCAAAUCCAGAUCCUGCCUGACCUGCUGAGUUCCUCCAGCAUUUUGUUUCACUGAAAGCAGGAAAAUUCAUUUAAAGGAAAUAGCCUGGAAACAAGCGGAAGUUCCAAGCCAUGACUCUAAUCAUUACAUCUUCAUCAACAGAAAUGUUUUAGAUAUGAAAUCACUCUCUUUAUUUUCAUAGCAGUUGGUUAGAUGAUGAAAUUUUUAAUUCUAUCAAACAAUUCUUCUCAAAACAUCUUUGAUCAUACCUUCAAUUACUCUAUUAAUUUCCCAAUUUCAUGAAUGGUACUUAAUUAUUGGCUUUUAAAACAUCUCUACAAUUGAUUGCUGGUAGAAGUUCACUAUGUCUAGUGGAAUAAAGAAUCUUGUUCCCCUGCUACUGUAAAGGAAGGAAUGCACUUGUGUCAAAUUCAAUUGGCUAAAUGUCACCUUAACUAAUGGUUUCCACUGUUAACUUAAAAACAAGAUAUUAUAAAUAGUUCAAUUUUGUUCAGCGCAUAUCAGAAGCACUGUACAAUUAAAAGGGCUUAAUGUAUGAUAAUAGAUAAGAAACUCAAAAUCUAAGUUCCAGUGCUUGAGAGCAACUUUCAAGUCAACAGUGAAUUGCUAUACACAAUCCAAGUGUGCUUUCUGAAAGACUUUGAUGAUACGAUGUGCUUUUUUUAAAAAAAAGUAUUUCGAUAUCAGAACUUUAAAAAGCAAUUGUAUCAUUUGUGUUUCUAUUAUAUUAGUAACCAGGAUUACAGGUAGGAUUUUCAGUCAUGUACAAUAUCCAAAGCCCAUGAAUUUACAUUUAAAUUAGACCUCACAACCCAUGAAUAGAAGCAUUGUUAACUAGUCUGAAUACAUAUACUCUGGGUGUAUUAUAUACACACAGACUAUGUAGCAUAACCACAGAAUACAAGCACCAAGUAUCAGAUCCAAACAGAUAAAAUUCAUGCUGCAGGAUUGUUUUUGCCAGAGCAAAUCUAAACCAGGGCAUACAAACUACUUUAGAAGCUUUUGAGGAACUUGAGUUAAUCUAAUCAGUGCUUGAGCAUUGGAAAUAGUAUUGUUUAAGUAAAUCACAUUAACAUCUCUCUAACUCUGAAGAGUUUUGUUCUGUUAUGUAUUGGAGAUAAGGUACAGGAGUUCAU